rnacentral:rRNA from 1 species
UACGUAGGGUGCGAGCGUUGUCCGGAAUUAUUGGGCGUAAAGAGCUCGUAGGCGGUCUGUCGCGUCGGCUGUGAAAUCCCGAGGCUCAACCUCGGGUCUGCAGUCGAUACGGGCAAACUAGAGUAUUGCAGGGGAGACUGGAAUUCCUGGUGUAGCGGUGAAAUGCGCAGAUAUCAGGAGGAACACCGGUGGCGAAGGCGGGUCUCUGGGCAAUAACUGACGCUGAGGAGCGAAAGCGUGGGGAGCGAACGGG